GAUUAACGCUGGCGGCGUGCAUAACACAUGCAAGUCGAACGAUGAAACUUAGUAGACUUCUUCGGAAAGACACUAAGCGGCUUAGUGGCGAACGGGUGAGUAACUCGUUAUUAACCUGCCUUACACAAGGGGAUAGCCUUUGGAAACGAAGAAUAAUAUCCUAUCACACUAUAAAAGCACAUGCUAUAAUGGUCCAAGUGCUAGCGGUGUAAGAUGGACUUGCUUCUGAUUAGCUAGUUGGAGAGAUAAACGCUCACCAAGGCAACGAUCAGUAGCCGGCUUGAGAGAGUGUACGGCCACAUUGGGACUGAGACACGGCCCAGACUCCUACGGGAGGCAGCAGUGGGGAAUUUUGCACAAUGGGGGAAAGCCUGAUGCAGCGACGCCGCGAGAUUUAGAAGGCCUUCGAGUUGUAAAAAGCUUUUGUAUAGGAAGAAAAUGACAGUACUAUACGAAUAAGGUCCGGCUAAUUACGUG
rnacentral:rRNA from 1 species